UACGAAGGGGGCUAGCGUUGUUCGGAAUUACUGGGCGUAAAGCGCACGUAGGCGGGUUGUUAAGUCAGGGGUGAAAUCCUGGAGCUCAACUCCAGAACUGCCUUUGAUACUGGGAAGCUUGAGUCCGGGAGAGGUGAGUGGAACUCCGAGUGUAGAGGUGAAAUUCGUAGAUAUUCGGAAGACCACCAGUGGCGAAGGCGGCUUGCCAGAAUGCGCUCGACGGUGAGGGAUGAAAGCUGGGGGAGCAAACCGG
rnacentral:rRNA from 1 species